GCAUAUCAAUAAGCGGAGGAAAAGAAACUAACAAGGAUUCCCUUAGUAACUGCGAGUGAAGUGGGAAAAGCUCAAAUUUAAAAUYUGAUAGUCUUUGGCUAUUUGAGUUGUAAUCUAAAGAAGCAUUAUUUGCACUGGACCAUGUACAAGUYUUCUGGAAUGGAGCAUCAUAGAAGGUGAGAAUCCUGUCUUUGACAUGGACUACCAGGGCUUUUGUAAUAUGCUCUCAAAGAGUCGAGUUGUUUGGGAAUGCAGCUYUAAAAGGGUGGUAAAUUCCAUCUAAAGCUAAAUAUUGGCGAGAGACCGAUAGUGAACAAGUACCGUGAGGGAAAGAUGAAAAGAACUUUGGAAAGAGAGUUAAAUAGUACGUGAAAUUGUUGAAAGGGAAACACUUGAAGUCAGUCACAUUAAUCAGAGAUCAACCUUGUUUUUUUUUUACUUGGUGUAUUUUCUGUUUGAUGGGUCAGCAUCAAUUUCACCUAGUAGAAAAAGAUUGAAAGAAUGUGGCAUUUUUGAAUGUGUUAUAGCUUUCAGUCAUAUAUACUAGUUGAGAUUGAGGAAUUCAGCAUGCCGCAAGGCCGGAUUUUUAAAUCACGUCCAUGCUUAGGAUGCUGACAUUAAUGGCUUUAAUUGACCCGYCUUGAAACACGGACCA
rnacentral:rRNA from 1 species